CAUGGCGGCCGAGCGGAAGACCAAGUUGUCCAAGAACCUGCUCACAUGAAGUUCAUGCAAAGGGGACUGGACUCGGAAACCAAGAAACAACUAGAAGAGGAAGAAAAGAAAAUCAUUAGUGACGAGCACUGGUACUUGGAUUUGCCAGAGCUUAAAGAGAAAGAGAGUUUCAUAAUAGAAGAGCAAAGUUUCUUGUUAUGUGAAGAUCUUCUCUAUGGAAGAAUGUCAUUCAGGGGAUUUAAUCCUGAAGUGGAGAAAUUAAUGCUUCUGAUGAAUGCUAAGAACAAAGCAGAAGAAGCUGAAGAUGAAACAGCAGCAGUGAUAAAGUUUGGUGCAGAGAAUGAUGUAAUUCAUAUUUGA